GACGUAGGGGGCCAGCGUUGCUCGGAAUUACUGGGUGUAAAGGGUUCGUAGGCGGUGUGGCAAGUCGGGAGUGAAAUCUCUGGGCUCAACCCAGAGUCUGCUUCCGAAACUGCUGCGCUUGAGUGUGGGAGAGGCGCGUGGAAUUGCAGGUGUAGCGGUGAAAUGCGUAGAUAUCUGCAGGAACACCCGUGGCGAAAGCGGCGCGCUGGACCACUACUGACGCUGAGGAACGAAAGCUAGGGGAGCAAACAGG
rnacentral:rRNA from 1 species